rnacentral:rRNA from 1 species
GACGAACGCUGGCGGCGUGCCUAAUACAUGCAAGUCGAACGCAGUGGGGACGGGUGAGUAACCCGUGGGUAACCUCCCAUCAGAGGGGAUAACACUUGGAAACAGGUGCUAAACAGAUAGUGAAUGAUGGACACGGGGUGCAUUAGCUAGUUGGUGAGGUAACGGCUCACCAAGGCCACGAUGCAUACCGGCGCUGAGAGGGUGAUCGGCAACACUGGGACUGAGACACGGCCCAGACUCCUACGGGAGGCAGCAGUAGGGAAUCUUCGGCAAUGGACGAAAGUCUGACCGAGCAACGCCGCGUGAGUGAAGAAGGUUUUCGGAUCGUAAAACUCUGUUGUUAGGGAGGCGGUAUCUAACCAGAAAGCCACGGCUAACUACGUGCCAGCAGCCGCGGUAAUUC